GUACUCCUUGCUCAAUUCCGGUUGAUCCUGCCGGAGGCCACUGCUAUGGGGGUCCGACUAAGCCAUGCGAGUCAUGGGGCGCCUUGUGCGCACCGGCGGACGGCUCAGUAACACGUCGGUAACCUACCCUCGGGAGGGGGAUAACCCCGGGAAACUGGGGCU
rnacentral:rRNA from 1 species